UACAGAGGUCUCAAGCGUUGUUCGGAUCCAUUGGGCGUAAAGGGUGCGUAGGCGGCGCGGUAAGUCGGGUGUGAAAUCUCGGAGCUUAACUCCGAAACUGCAUUCGAUACUGCCGUGCUUGAGGACUGGAGAGGAGACUGGAAUUUACGGUGUAGCGGUGAAAUGCGUAGAUAUCGUAAGGAAGACCAGUGGCGAAGGCGGGUCUCUGGACAGUUACUGACACUGAGGCACGAAGGCCAGGGGAGCAAACGGG
rnacentral:rRNA from 1 species